ensembl:lncRNA
AAUGUUUUUUUUAAACUAUGAUUGCAGAGGUUUAAAAAGGAACAAUAUAAACUGCUACUAAUUUGGGGGUUCAAUCCGGUUCAGAACUUUAUUUUGCUGGUCAGAACAAUGGAACUGAACAAAAAAAAUGGUUUUGUUAAAAACGAUGCGUUUGGAAAAUACUUUUGCUUCCAACCCCUGGUGUAAGCACAGUGAGUUGGCAGGUCUAGAAAGAGAGAGAAGCACAGUGAGUUGGCAGGUCUAGAAAGAGAAGCACAGUGAGUUGGCAGGUCUAGAGAGAGAGAAGCGCAGUGAGUUGGCAGGUCUAGAAAGAAAGAGAGAAGCACAGGGAGUUGGCAGGUCUAGAGAGAAAGAAGAAGCACACGGGAGUUUGGCAGGUCUAGUGAGAGAGAGAAG